UACGUAGGGUGCGAGCGUUGUCCGGAAUUACUGGGCGUAAAGAGCUCGUAGGUGGUUUGUCGCGUUGUUCGUGAAAACUCACAGCUUAACUGUGGGCGUGCGGGCGAUACGGGCAGACUGGAGUACUGCAGGGGAGACUGGAAUUCCUGGUGUAGCGGUGGAAUGCGCAGAUAUCAGGAGGAACACCGGGGGCGAAGGCGGGUCUCUGGGCAGUAACUGACGCUGAGGAGCGAAAGCGUGGGGAGCGAACAGG
rnacentral:rRNA from 1 species